rnacentral:misc_RNA from 1 species
GAAUAAUCAGAUGAAGGAGAAUGCACUGGGUAACUUGGCUGGGUUUGGUAUUGGAUCUGCUGCUACUCCAGUUUCUACAAAACCUAAUCCAUUUGGUGUUAUGUCACCGAAUAAAGCUUCAUCUCCAGCAAACUCCUUAUUUACAAGUACAGCUUCAAGCAGUGAGUUAUUUCGACCAGCGUCAUUUAGUUUUCAACCAAUACAGCCACCUCAACCAUCAGCACCUGCAAAUUUUGGUGCCUUUCCUGGUAGCUUUAGCCUCACUUCCACGAGUCAGGCUCCAGCAGUGAGUGGGUUUGGCCAGCCGGCUCAGGUUGGACAAGGGCAGCAUGCUUUAGGUUCAGUUCUUGGUACUUUUGGACAAUCAAGGCAGCUUGGUGCUGGAAUACCCGGAACUGGUGUGGGAUCUGCAAGCUCUUUUGGCGGAGGUUUUAUGAGCAAUAGCUCUGCUGGUGGUUUCGGAGGUGGGUUUUCCAAUCUGAGUUCUGGUGGUGUUGGAUUCGGUGCUUCUGCUGCACCCAGUGGUGGAUUUGCUGCUGCUGCCACAGGUGCUGGUGGAUUUGCAGCCGCUGCCACAUCUGCUGGUGGAUUUGGAGCUGCUGCUGCAGCUGGUGGUGGAUUUGCUGCUCCAACUGGUGGUGGUUCAGGCUUUUCAGGUGGUGGUUUUGGAGCUUUUAGCAGCCAACAAAGUGGUGGUAGUGGCUUCCCUGCAUUCGGUGGGAGUUCAGCUACUGCAAGACCACCUUCUCAACUCUUCACACAGAUGAGGAAGUAGUUCCAUGCGCACAAAUUUUGAAAAGAAAAUUCUUAGGAAAGAAACAAAGGGGUAAAUGGAUGAUGUGAUAGAUGUUUUACUUGUAGAUUGUUGUAUUCUGGUUCAGUUCACUUUUGUGUUAUGAAGUUAGUUAAUCCGUGUUAUUAUUAGUUGUGGAUGAAGCCCAGUAAUGGGACUGACUCAACAGUGUUUCCUCUUUGCAUUCUUUCUU